rnacentral:rRNA from 1 species
ACACGUAGGGGGCGAGCGUUGUCCGGAAUUACUGGGCGUAAAGGGCGUGUAGGCGGCACCGCAAGUCAGGUGUGAAACCCCUAGGCUUAACCUGGGGCUUGCAUUUGAAACUGCGAUGCUUGAGGGCAGGAGAGGCAAGUGGAAUUCCUAGUGUAGCGGUGAAAUGCGUAGAUAUUAGGAAGAACACCAGUGGCGAAGGCGACUUGCUGGACUGGCCCUGACGCUGAGGCGCGAAAGCGUGGGUAGCGAACAGGAUUAGAUACCCUGGUAGUCCACGCCGUAAACGAUGGGUACUAGGUGUUGGGGGUAUCGAACCCCUCAGUGCCGCAGUAAACGCAGUAAGUACCCCGCCUGGGGAGUACGGUCGCAAGGCUGAA